CAACCUGCCCACCACUUGGGGAUAACCUUGCGAAAGUAAGACUAAUACCCAAUGGUAUCUCUAGAAGACAUCUGAAAGAGAUUAAAGAUUUAUCGGUGAUGGAUGGGGAUGCGUCUGAUUAGCUUGUUGGCGGGGUAACGGCCCACCAAGGCAACGAUCAGUAGGGGUUCUGAGAGGAAGGUCCCCCACAUUGGAACUGAGACACGGUCCAAACUCCUACGGGAGGCAGCAGUGAGGAAUAUUGGUCAAUGGACGAGAGUCUGAACCAGCCAAGUAGCGUGCAGGAAGACGGCCCUAUGGGUUGUAAACUGCUUUUAUAAGGGAAUAAAGUGAGUCUCGUGAGACUUUUUGCAUGUACCUUAUGAAUAAGGACCGGCUAAUUCCGUGCCAGCAGCCGCGGUAAUACGGAAGGUCCGGGCGUUAUCCGGAUUUAUUGGGUUUAAAGGGAGCGUAGGCCGGAGAUUAAGCGUGUUGUGAAGUGUAGACGCUCAACGUCUGCACUGCAGCGCGAACUGGUUUCCUUGAGUACGCACAAAGUGGGCGGAAUUCGUGGUGUAGCGGUGAAAUGCUUAGAUAUCACGAAGAACUCCGAUUG
rnacentral:rRNA from 1 species